AUUGAACGCUGGCGGCAGGCCUAACACAUGCAAGUCGAACGGUAACAGGAAGAAGCUUGCUUCUUUGCUGACGAGUGGCGGACGGGUGAGUAAUGUCUGGGAAACUGCCUGAUGGAGGGGGAUAACUACUGGAAACGGUAGCUAAGACCGCAUAACGUCGCAAGACCAAAGAGGGGGACCUGCGGGCCUCUUGCCAUCGGAUGUGCCCAGAUGGGAUUCGCUAGUAGGAGGGGUAACGGCUCACCUAGGCGACGAGCCCUAGCUGGUCUGAGGGGAUGACCCGCCACCCGGGAACUGAGAAUGGGCCCCGACUCCUACGGGAGGCAGCAGUGGGGAAUCUUGCACAAGGGGCGCAAGCCUGAUGCAGCCAUGCCGCGUGUAUGAAGAAGGCCUUCGGGUUGUAAAGUACUUUCAGCGGGGAGGAAGGGAGUAAAGUUAACACCUUUGAUCAUUGACGUUCCCCGCAGAAGAAGCACCGGCUAACUCCGU
rnacentral:rRNA from 1 species